ACGGAAGGCAGCAGUGAGGAAUAUUGGUCAAUGGGCGGAAGCCUGAACCAGCCAAGUCGCGUGAAGGAAGAAGGUAUUAUGUAUUGUAAACUUCUUUAGUCGUAGAGAAAUAAGGUGCUCGUGAGCACUGAUGCUAGUAUACGAAGAAUAAGGAUCGGCUAACUCCGUGCCAGCAGCCGCGGUAAUACGGAGGAUCCGAGCGUUAUCCGGAUUUAUUGGGUUUAAAGGGUGCGCAGGCGGCUUUUUAAGUCAGUGGUCAAAUCGUGGGGCUCAACCCCAUCCCGCCAUUGAUACUGGAGAGCUUGAUUGCGGUCGAGGUUGGCGGAAUUCGUCGUGUAGCGGUGAAAUGCAUAGAUAUGACGAAGAACACCGAUUGCGUAGGCAGCUGACCAGUCCGUAAAUGACGCUCAUGCACGAAAGUGCGGGGAUCGAACAGGAUUAGAUACCCUGGUA
rnacentral:rRNA from 1 species